CCCAAAAUCCACCUUAGACGGAAAAAUGAAUUUUUGGUGAUGUAAAUCGCCGAAAUUAGGAUUUUGGGGAUUAAUUCAAAAUAAAUAACAAAAUAAAUUUUGAUAUUCAAUAAAUCAUGGAAUAAUGAAAUAUAAGUCUUAAAUAAGUGUUAGAAAAGAUAUGUGAGCAAAGAAUUGAGUUUUAGGGAGUUUUGGUACGUUCUUGAGAAAAGUCGUCGAUUAAGGCUGUUCGAUGACUAAAUUGGGAAAUUCUUAGGAUUUGUGUAGUAUCCUGGAUUGUAGGGCUUAUCAAAAUGUCUAGAUAUGUGAAGUGAAUUAGUAGUUAAGUCGGACCCUUUGUUAGAAAAUUUAGACGAGAAGUCGUUCAACCGAUUAUCGACAAUUUUCGUUGCCCACGUAAAAUCGUAAAUCAAAAUUUCAGGCUAAUAAUUUUAUAAAUUAUGGAAAAUGACCUAAAAUGUAUGUAAAUAAUAUGAGGAGUUGAUUUGGGAAGUUUGAAGGUAAUUAAAAUUUUUAUCGCCGAUUAUUUCAGUUUUUAGCGAAAACGAUCGGCGAAACUUUUGAAGAUAUAGACGGGAAUAAUUUUACCUUAAACUAGAAUUUAAAUGCUAAAUGAUGAUAUAAAGAGUUCCUAAAUGUGAUAUCAUAUGAUAGGGCAAUAAAAUGUUACAAGAUAAUUAAUUUAUUUAAAAACUAACUAAAUAAUUUAAUAAUAAAUAGAAUCCUCUAGAAGGAAAUUAUGUUUAUCAUCAACUCCAAAACCCCAUUCCAGCCAUAUACACGUCCUUCCCCUCUCCAUUGAAGACCAGAAGCUUAAGCUUUUUCAUUUCCAAUUAUUUGUCAUUUAAUCGGUAAAUCGAUCGGGUAAUCUUGUAUCCGCCAACAAAUCAAGGUUAGAGUUGAUAUUGUGUCAUUGGUGUUGAGCAGUUUUGCAUCUUUGGCGGGUCACUGGUGGUCAACUUAGUUUAGUAGUCGUGGCAUGUUGUGUAAUAGUUUAAUCUUUAACUUUCCGCUGGAUAAAUGUUAUGUAUUUAAAUGUAAUAGAUUUUUAUUAUGCUUUUAAGCUAAAAAGAAAAAGGAAAAUUUCAGCACGGGUUUUCGAUACUGAAACGUGACAUCACGUAUUCGGUUGGUUUACCUACCGGGUAAGGGGUGUUACAAGUUUUGGUAUCAGAGCCUAGGUUUAGGCGGUUCUGGAUAAAAGUGAGUCAAUAAAAUGUGUAGAAACAUGCCACAUAGGAGUAAAUGUUUGUUAGUACCAGUGACUCGAUGCAGCUGCCUAGGUCUAAAGUGGAAAGAAGUUAACAAAGUACGGGACAUAGUUUCCCGUGUGACCGAGAAAGAUGUUAUAUGGGACUGGCCACCCCAUAUAGCUCGAAUAUCGGUAGCGUCAGUGUGUGUAAAAGACUUUAAAAAAAAAAGUGCAGGGAGGAUGUGUCUGAAACUGUUGUUGAAAAGUGUGUUCUAAUGUAAGAAUUGAGAUUAGCUUCAAUUAUAGUAUUCGAUAAUAUGUCGAAAUAAGAUGUUGGUUAUAGGGAAAAUGAUAUGAUCUGAAUCUGUGUGCCCUUGAAUGGAUUGUAUGAGCGCUCAAGAUCGGGCUAUAUGAUGUGAAUGGAAGUAUGAAUUCUGUAUGUAUUAUAUGUCUACUCAAAAUUGGGCAAUAGGAAAUAUGAUGUGAUGUGAUAUAAGAUAUGUGAUACAAAAGGUGAUCUGAUUAGAAUGUGAACUCCGUAAGAACUAUGUGUGCGCUCGAAGACGAGCUAAGUGAAUAUGGAAAUUUAAAUGAAGAUUUAGAUAUGAAAUGGAAUUUGAAAAUGAGUGUGGUAUUUGACAUUUAUGCAAAUUGUGUUAAUAAUUGAUGUGUGCUGAGAAAUGACAAUAAAUAUGGUAUUUGGUGAUAAUGUGAACUGUUGUUGAUUAUUUGGGAGAUAUUUGAACUUUGUUGUGGAUGAUUAAUUUGUCUGGAUGCUUUGUGUUUGAAUUUGAAUCCUGUUGGUUUUUGGGCAUGCUCCAUUUUAGGGGGGAUGCUGCCCAUUUUGUUAGAAACUAAUUGAAUAAAUCAACUACGGAAUUAUAAUAACAAGAGAUGAUGACUAUAAUAGAAACAAUAUGCAAUAUGUGGUGAAUCAAGGUGGAAGUAUGUAGUAUGAUAAAGGGUAUGUAAAUUGAUAUGAUAUAAGAGGACAACAUGAAUAAGUUAAAAAUGAACUAGAAUGGUGUACGAGAUAAAUGAGUAAUAAAAAUGGUAGCAUUGUCAUGUGAAUGCGAAUGGGGAAUCUGAAUGUGAAAAUGCUGAUUAUGUGAUUUUAUAUGCUAUUUGAUGAAUGAUUGUUGGAAUAUGAGCUAUGAAUUUCACAUUGGAACUUAUGCUGAAAUCUGUCAGAUAAUAAAAUGUAAAGAAGUAUGCGAUAUAAUUUGAUAAUUAUGCUUAUGUAUAUUAUUGAAUCUGUGACAUGAUGGAACUAAUAAUCUUAAUAUGAUAUAUUAGGGUGAAAUAUGAACUUAUGUGUCAUUAUAUGUGAAAGGUGGAUUAUGUGAUUUUAAGUAUGAUUUUGUGGCUUGAUGCGGAAAAUGAGGAUACGCUACGAAUAGGAAAUGACUUAAUGCCAUGAAAUGACAUAAGAGAAACCAUGACGCUUCAGGAGUAAGAAAAUUCGAUGGAAUUUCGAGGACGAAAUUCUUUUUAGGGGGGAUGAGUUGUAAUGCCCCAAAAUCCACCUUAGACGGAAAAAUGAAUUUUUGGUGAUGUAAAUCGCCGAAAUUAGGAUUUUGGGGAUUAAUUCAAAAUAAAUAACAAAAUAAAUUUUGAUAUUCAAUAAAUCAUGGAAUAAUGAAAUAUAAGUCUUAAAUAAGUGUUAGAAAAGAUAUGUGAGCAAAGAAUUGAGUUUUAGGGAGUUUUGGUACGUUCUUGAGAAAAGUCGUCGAUUAAGGCUGUUCGAUGACUAAAUUGGGAAAUUCUUAGGAUUUGUGUAGUAUCCUGGAUUGUAGGGCUUAUCAAAAUGUCUAGAUAUGUGAAGUGAAUUAGUAGUUAAGUCGGACCCUUUGUUAGAAAAUUUAGACGAGAAGUCGUUCAACCGAUUAUCGACAAUUUUCGUUGCCCACGUAAAAUCGUAAAUCAAAAUUUCAGGCUAAUAAUUUUAUAAAUUAUGGAAAAUGACCUAAAAUGUAUGUAAAUAAUAUGAGGAGUUGAUUUGGGAAGUUUGAAGGUAAUUAAAAUUUUUAUCGCCGAUUAUUUCAGUUUUUAGCGAAAACGAUCGGCGAAACUUUUGAAGAUAUAGACGGGAAUAAUUUUACCUUAAACUAGAAUUUAAAUGCUAAAUGAUGAUAUAAAGAGUUCCUAAAUGUGAUAUCAUAUGAUAGGGCAAUAAAAUGUUACAAGAUAAUUAAUUUAUUUAAAAACUAACUAAAUAAUUUAAUAAUAAAUAGAAUCCUCUAGAAGGAAAUUAUGUUUAUCAUCAACUCCAAAACCCCAUUCCAGCCAUAUACACGUCCUUCCCCUCUCCAUUGAAGACCAGAAGCUUAAGCUUUUUCAUUUCCAAUUAUUUGUCAUUUAAUCGGUAAAUCGAUCGGGUAAUCUUGUAUCCGCCAACAAAUCAAGGUUAGAGUUGAUAUUGUGUCAUUGGUGUUGAGCAGUUUUGCAUCUUUGGCGGGUCACUGGUGGUCAACUUAGUUUAGUAGUCGUGGCAUGUUGUGUAAUAGUUUAAUCUUUAACUUUCCGCUGGAUAAAUGUUAUGUAUUUAAAUGUAAUAGAUUUUUAUUAUGCUUUUAAGCUAAAAAGAAAAAGGAAAAUUUCAGCA